CCUACGGGCGGCUGCAGUGGGGAAUUUUGGACAAUGGGCGCAAGCCUGAUCCAGCAAUGCCGCGUGCAGGAUGAAGGCCUUCGGGUUGUAAACUGCUUUUGUACGGAACGAAAAAGCUCUCUCUAAUACAGGGGGUGAAUGACGGUACCGUAAGAAUAAGCACCGGCUAACUACGUGCCAGCAGCCGCGGUAAUACGUAGGGUGCAAGCGUUAAUCGGAAUUACUGGGCGUAAAGCGUGCGCAGGCGGUUUUGUAAGACAGAGGUGAAAUCCCCGGGCUCAACCUGGGAACUGCCUUUGUGACUGCAAAGCUGGAGUGCGGCAGAGGGGGAUGGAAUUCCGCGUGUAGCAGUGAAAUGCGUAGAUAUGCGGAGGAACACCGAUGGCGAAGGCAAUCCCCUGGGCCUGCACUGACGCUCAUGCACGAAAGCGUGGGGAGCAAACAGGAUUAGAUACCCCAGUAGUC
rnacentral:rRNA from 1 species